GUGCAUAUUUCAUACCUUUUCUUUAACAAUGGCCAGGCUCGCAACUCUAGCAGCUCUCCUUGUAGCCCUUUUGUUCGUAGCCAACGCUGCUGCCUUCCGCACCACCAUAACAACCAUGGAGAUCGACGAGGACAUUGACAACCCAAGGCGGUGAGGCGAGGGCUGCCAGGAGCAGAUUCAACGCCAGCAAAACCUCAACCACUGCCAGUACUACCUGAGGCAGCAAAGCCGGUCAGGGGGUUAUGAUGAAGACAACCAGCGGCAGCAUUUCAGGCAGUGCUGCCAGCAGCUGAGUCAGAUAGAGGAGCAGUGCCAGUGUGAGGGAUUGAGGCAGGCGGUGAGGCGGCAGCAGCAGCAGCAGGGUCGCCGGGGUGAGGAAAUGGAGGAGAUGGUGCAGUCUGCUAGGGACUUGCCAAAGGAAUGCGGUAUCAGCAGCCAGCGCUGUGAAAUUCGUAGAAGCUGGUUCUAGAUCAGGACAUCAUGCACCAUAAUAAGGGUCCCAGUUAGCUCUAGCAUUUGUCGCUGGAAGAUAACUGGUGACUAGCUUUAGCAACUAGCAAGCACAUCCUCGUGUGUAAUAUAAUAUGUAAUCCUGGCCUUCAAGUAGUUUAGGGCCUUUGUAUGUAGGCUUUCUUAAGUAAAAUAAAAACUUGCUAAAAUAAAA